UGUUGUUGAACAGUAGGGGUAGAGAGAGAGAUAGAGAGAGAGAGAGAGAGACUUACAGUUGGUCGUGUAUUACCUGCAUCAAAUUGAAAUUAAGGGAAUGUUGAUAGGGCGGAGGUGGUGAAUGAGAUGUUUGGUGAUACUGAUAAGAAGGAGAUCAAGUNAACAAAAACCUAAUUUCAUUGAAGAUGAAAAAAAAUACAACAUUAAACCCUAGCAGAUGGUAUGUUUUAAACAUAGUUAGAUUAAAUCGUACUUGGUAUCGGCUUUCCUCGUAGCACCGCUUGAUUUGCUUCCUUUCAUCGUUUGAUCCUGAAUGAAACAACCGAAACAACAAACUAGGUCAAAAAUCGAAGCGAAAAUGGUUGUAAAUGAAAAAAAUUAGAGUCGACAUCGAGGAAAAAGAGGAAGAAAACAUACCUAGUUAGCAAAAAAUCUAGGGUUAGGGUUUGAUUCGUUUGCGAUUGGGGGAUACUGGGGUAAGGAAAUCGACUUAUAAAUGGCUACGAUACGUCGGCAAUAGAACUAUUUGGGCAGGAAGAUUUUCAUUCCAAGAGGGCUUGAUUAUGUUCAUGAUUUUGGGCCCAUUUUGGAUAAAACAAUGGGGCUUCAUUGGUGGUGGUGGUGAACCAGAGAGAAGACGAGGGGUGGUGGGUGCCUAGGUUGUUGUUGAACAGUAGGGGGUAGAGAGAGAGAUAGAGAUAGAGAGAGAGAGAGACUUGUAGUUGGUCGUGUAUUACCCGCAUCAAAUUGAAAUUAAGGGAAUGUUGAUAGGGCGGAGGUGGUGAAUGAGAUGUUUGGUGAUACUGAUAAGAAGGAGAUCAAGUAGAGAUCCGAUGAACGAGAUGUUUGAUGAUACUGAAGAUGAAGAUGACGGACCUAGGGCUUUUUCUUGCUAAGUAGAAGAGGCGGGGGGAUUAAUUUUGGGAUUCAAUAGGCGGGGGUAAUUUUCGUCGAUUUCAUUUCCCGCCUAAAACGCGUGUUUCACUUAAAAUUAUAAAGCGACACAUUCACAUGACGCACAUUUUAUGAAAGGUGCCCUCCGCAUUUCUUUUUUUUUUCUUUUC
rnacentral:lncRNA from 1 species